AUUGAACGCUGGCGGCAUGCCUUACACAUGCAAGUCGAACGGCAGCGGGGGAGAAGCUUGCCUUUCCUGCCGGCGAGUGGCGAACGGGUGAGUAAUACAUCGGAACGUGCCCUGUAGUGGGGGAUAACUAGUCGAAAGAUUAGCUAAUACCGCAUACGGCCUGAGGGUGAAAGUGGGGGACCGCAAGGCCUCAUGCUAUAGGAGCGGCCGAUGUCUGAUUAGCUAGUUGGUGGGGUAAAGGCCUACCAAGGCGACGAUCAGUAGCUGGUCUGAGAGGACGAUCAGCCACACUGGGACUGAGACACGGCCCAGACUCCUACGGGAGGCAGCAGUGGGGAAUUUUGGACAAUGGGCGAAAGCCUGAUCCAGCAAUGCCGCGUGUGUGAAGAAGGCCUUCGGGUUGUAAAGCACUUUUGUCCGGAAAGAAAUGGCUCUGGUUAAUACCUGGGGUCGAUGACGGUACCGGAAGAAUAAGGACCGGCUAACUACGUGCCAGCCGCCGCCGUAA
rnacentral:rRNA from 1 species